rnacentral:rRNA from 1 species
AUUGAACGCUGGCGGCAUGCUUUACACAUGCAAGUCGAACGGACUUAGGUGCUUGCACCUAGGUUAGUGGCGAACGGGUGAGUAAUGCAUCGGAACGUACCGUGUAAUGGGGGAUAACGCAGCGAAAGUUGUGCUAAUACCGCAUACGAUCUACGGAUGAAAGCAGGGGAUCGCAAGACCUUGCGUUAUACGAGCGGCCGAUGUCGGAUUAGCUAGUUGGUAGGGUAAAGGCCUACCAAGGCAACGAUCCGUAGCGGGUCUGAGAGGAUGAUCCGCCACACUGGGACUGAGACACGGCCCAGACUCCUACGGGAGGCAGCAGUGGGGAAUUUUGGACAAUGGGCGCAAGCCUGAUCCAGCCAUGCCGCGUGAGUGAAGAAGGCCUCGGUU